UAUCCUAGCCAUAAAAUUCAGUAU
rnacentral:miRNA from 1 species